rnacentral:rRNA from 1 species
UACGUAGGGUGCAAGCGUUGUCCGGAAUUAUUGGGCGUAAAGAGCUCGUAGGCGGUUUUGUUGCGUCGGCUGUGAAAUCCCCGAGGCUCAACCUCGGGUCUGCAGUCGAUACGAGCAAACUAGAGUGUUGCAGGGGGAGACUGGAAUUCCUGGUGUAGCGGUGAAAUGCGCAGAUAUCAGGAGGAACACCGGUGGCGAAGGCGGGGUCUCUGGGGCAACAACUGACGCUGAGGAGCGAAAAGCCGUGGGGGAGCGAACAGG